UGGGGAAUAUUGCACAAUGGGCGAAAGCCUGAUGCAACAACGCCGCGUGAGUGAUGAAGGCCUUCGGGUUGUAAAGCUCUGUCUUUUGGGACGAUAAUGACGGUACCAAAGGAGGAAGCCACGGCUAACUACGUGCCAGCAGCCGCGGUAAUACGUAGGUGGCAAGCGUUGUCCGGAUUUACUGGGCGUAAAGGAUGCGUAGGCGGAUUUUUAGGUGAGAUGUGAAAUACCCGGGCUUAACUUGGGUGCUGCAUUUCAAACUGGGAAUCUAGAGUGCGGGAGAGGAGAAUGGAAUUCCUAGUGUAGCGGUGAAAUGCGUAGAGAUUAGGAAGAACACCAGUGGCGAAGGCGAUUCUCUGGACCGUAACUGACGCUGAGGCAUGAAAGCGUGGGUAGCAAACAGGAUUAGAUACCCUGGUAGUCCACGCCGUAAACGAUGAGUACUAGGUGUAGGAGGUAUCGACCCCUUCUGUGCCGCAGUUAACACAAUAAGUACUCCGCCUGGGAAGUACGAUCGCAAGAUUAAAACUCAAAUGAAUUGACGGGGUC
rnacentral:rRNA from 1 species